AGUUUUUGGAAGAGGUAUUGCCACCCUUUCUAGUCCCUAUUAGAAAGGGUGGCAAUACCUCUUCCAAAAACU
rnacentral:miRNA from 1 species